rnacentral:lncRNA from 1 species
CUCUUCCUGCUGCUCCAGGCAUGAGAAGUGCUCGCUCCCUCUUUGCCUUCCGCCACGUUUGUAAGUUUCCUGAGGCCUCCGAAGCCGAGCAAAUGCCAGCAUCAUCCUUCCUGUACAAGCCUGCAGAACUAAUGAGUCGCAUGGCUUCACACAGGUGUCAAGGAGCCUGGCAAGCUCCCUGCUGGGAGCCAUUUACCAGCUGCAACUCCACCCUACGGAAGAGAGAGUAGGCAUCUGGGUGGACAAUGAGUUGUUCCUGCCACCAGGAUCUUAUGUUUAUUCACUGCCAUGAUGACCUGAAUUAUUUUGGAUAGAAGACACUUCAGGAUUCAAUAGUAUAUGUUUUUUCAUUCCUUUAUUUUCAACCUCUCUGAAUCAACAUUGGAUUUUGAAGCCCCAUCUGAGUAUUUGCCAUUUAUCAGUAAGUGUAACUGUCAUAUUUAUUGAGAUUGCAGAUUUGUUAUACUAACUUCUGCUGUCUUAUUUAUGAGUUUCCCUUCGCUAUGCUUUCUUUGCCAUUUGUCUCCCUUUUGUGACUAGUAAGCAGGAUAGGAUGGGCAAUACUGUAGUAACAAACUAGCCCCAAGUCUCAGUGACUUCGUACAAGAGGCAUUCAUUCUUCCUCCUGCAGUGUCUUCUGUAGGUAAUGCAACAGUCCAGGGCAGCCCCUCUCUGCAAUGAUGCAGGGAUCUAGACUUUCUUCCAGGGCUGAAACUAGGAUGAGGCAAGUAAAGCACUCCAGAUGCAAAAUUUAAGGAGGUGCUCUUUCUCAGGUUCAUGGUCACCUCGCAAGCCUCACCUUAGUCCUGGCCCUGUUUUUUCCAUCUAGUGGCUGCACUCUUCAACACAAAGCCUACACUGGUUUGCCUCACAAUUGGGUAAUUGAGCAACAAAUUUGAUUACAGUGUAGCAAAGACAAACUCAUGUCUGCAAUUUUAAAAUAAGCUACAAGAGUGGGGCACGGUGGCUCACGCCUGUAAUCCCAGCACUUUGGGAGGCCGAAGCGGGUGGAUCACGAGGUCAAGAGAUUGAGACCAUCCUGGCUAACACAGUGAAACCCCGUCUCUACUAAAAAAAAAAAAGAAAAAAAAAUCAAAAAGCCAGGCGUGGUGGCGGGCGCCUGUAGUCCCAGCUAUUCGGGAGGCUGAGGCAGGAGAAUGGCAUGAACCCAGGAGGCAGAGCUUGCAGUGAGCAGAGAUUGUGCCACUGCACUCCAGCCUGGGCAACAGAGGGAGACUCCUGUCAAAAAAAAUAAAUAAAAAAUAAAAAUAAAAAUAAGCUACAAGAACAAGAAUAGUCAUUUUCUGAGGUGGGGGUUAUUGCAAAGAUAUUGCUCAAAGGAUACAAAAUUUCUUUUUUGUAUCCUUUGAUGGAAAGUAAGAUAGGAAAAACAGUUCAAGGGAUCUAUUGUACACCAUGUAUACAUGUUGUAUUAACUAUAGAUAUACAACAUCUAUAGUUAAUAACAAUGUUUCAUAUUCUUUAAAAUUGAUGAGAACAGGUUUUAAGUGAUCUCAGCACAAAAAAUAAGUAUGUGAAGUAAUUUAUAUGUUAAUUAGCUCAAUUGAGCCAUUUUACAAUGUAUAUAUAUUUUAAAUGUCAUUUUGUACCCAAUAAUAUAUACAACUUUUAUUUGCCAUUUAAAAAUUAAUUAAUUUAAAUAAGUAAAAGAAUAGGCAUUUUUUGCAAACUGCAUAUAAAAAGACUAGUUCUACCUAUGGAUUAGUAAAACACUGAAAUAAAAAAUGCACACAAAACAAUAAACAUUUUCUAAAAAUACCUACAAACAAAAAGAUGCAUAUCAAACAUAUUAGGAAGGUUGCACAUGGGAAGACGGGGAAUAGAAAUGGGGGGUGGGAAUGAAAGAAAAUAAAUGAGAGAGGGACUUUGUAUGGAUCAAUGAUAAUAACUCAAUCCUCUAUGUCUUUGACAAAGAAGGAGGAGGAAGAAAAAAAAAGUGGGAUAAAGGAUCAGAAAGGGAGGAAAAUAGAAGAAAUUAGAGUAUGACUCCAGGGUAGACCUGUUUUAUUGUUGCUGGGUUGGUUGGUUGGUUUGUUUGUUGUAUUUUUAGUAGAGACGGGGUUUUGCCAUGUUGGCCAGGCUGGUCUUGAACUCCUAGCCUCAAGUGAUCAACCCGCCUCAGCCUCCCAGAGUGCUGGGAUUAUAGGUGUGAGCCACCACGUCCAGCCCCCACACUGCGUCUGGCCUCUGUGGUAGACCUAUAUUUUGAUGGAAGUAGUAUAUAUGUCAUUUGCUACUUAUUAAGUAAAGUAUACUAAUUCUAACUUUUACAAUAGCCAUGAUAGAAAAUUUAAGUUUCUUGUCUAUAAAAGCUUAUUUACUUUACAGCAGCCUUUAGCUAUUCUAGUUUAUAUUUUAGCUAAGGCUACCUUUAGCUUUAUCAAUUAAUAAGACCAGAAUCGCAUACAUUCUGACAAAAUAGUUUUAUAUUUUUAUGUUAAAUUGUUAAAGAAAACUUUAUUCCAAACUUCAAAAAAAGCAAGCUGAUGAUUGCUUGAGUUUUUAAAAAUUAAUAUCACCCUAGAAUAUUUUCUAAUAAGACUGCUUGACCUCAUCUGACACCCUUAGGCAGGUAACUUUGCUGUUACCAAAUCUUUGUUUAACAAUUCUCAGCCAGUGAAGGUGCAGACAGCUCACGGCCAGUAAGGUUGGAAACAGAGGAGUUGUUGGGACAUUAUAGCUUGACAGAGAAGCUGACCUCCAGGUGACAUGGUCAAUAGCCCUUAGAAAGUCAGCCCACUGGGUACCUAACUCAGCAAUAUUAUUUUGCAUUUCUUUUUAGACUAACUAUAUAAAUCCCUAUUGCUUAAAUGCUGUUCACUCAGAUCUUUUGUCUUCUUGCUUAGAUCCUUUGUUACUAAGUCAAUAUAAAACUUUAACAACUGCUAACAUAUGUCUUUGAGAGUUGUGCUCUUACAACACUGAAUGUGUAAUGUUGUUUGAUCCUUUGAGUUAUUUGGCUAAAUGGCCACAACAGUUAUACUAUAAUCCUAAUGUCUAUAAGAUUUCAGAAAUAAUGUAAUAAACAUACUACCGUGCUCUACUAAAGACAAUAUCAAAAGAAGUUUUAAGAUCUAGCUUUAUGGUAUUUUCAAGAGAUAGCCUAAAAGAGAAAGUUAAAGUGAAAAGAAGAGAGACAUAUAUAUAUGAUAUUUAUUCAUAUCAACUAAAAUAGGCAUUAAAGCAAAUAAGUAUUACUAGAAAUAAAAACGAGUUAAAAGGCUAAAUUUAUCAGGAAGUUAUAGCAAUUGUAAUCCUGGAUUGCUUAAUAAAAUAGCUUUACAUAAAACUACAAAGGGAAUUGAAAAAUACCCAUCAGAGUGGGAGAUUUCAUUUUACCUUUUCAGUAAUUGUUGGGUGAAACACACAAACACUUGGCAGAGAUACAAAUUAUGUACACCACAUAAAUAACGCAUCUGAUCUAAGGGCCAUGUCUAAACACAGAAUAGGGGCAGAUGAUGUUCCUUUGAAAGUUGGCUCUUUGAAAACACUGAUAAUACUGACAAAUCUCCAGCAGAAUUGAUCAAGGAAAAGAAGAGAGCACACGAAUAAGCAGCACACAAUAUGAGGAAUUUUAAAUGAGCAUAAUUAGAGAUACAGGCAAGAUUUAAAAUAUAGAAAAAGGGUUAAGAGAGGAGAGUGAGCACACACAGUUAAUUUUGCUGCCUAUUGAAAUCCUUUUAAACCAUAGGAAAUUUCUCCUUUUAGCGUUUAGUUUUUUCCUAGGAAAACAUAAACCCAUGGGGAAGAUGACAACAAGAGACAAGAGGAAUCCCAAAUUGUUUUUGGAGACAGUCUCACUCUGUUACCCAGGCUGUAGUGCAGUGGUGUGACCUAGGCUCACCACAGCCUUGACCUCCUGGGCUUAAGUGAUCCUCCCACCUCAGCCUCCUGAGUAGCUGAAACUACAGGCAUGCACCACCAUUCCUGGCUAAUUUUUUUUUUGGUAGAGUUGGGGUCUUGCUAUGUUGCCCAGGCUGGUCUCAAACUCCUGGCCUCAAGCUAUCCUCCUGCCGCAGCCUCCCAAAGUGCUGAGAUUACAGGCAUGAGCCACUGUGCCUAGCCCCAGCCUACAAAAUUUUUGUUCCUAGAAAAUGGAUGGGCAAGAUCUCAAAUCCUAAACCAGCAACAGAGUAAGCUGAGAACUGACAAAAUGUAUACCAGUAAAAUCCUCAAAAGUCUCAGGCACUGCCAGUACUGAACCUGGGAGAGAGAAGCUAGACUCAGGAGGCUUGGGUCAGAGUGAGAAGUCAUCAGCCCCAGAUGCCCUUCUCCACUCCAGGCAUUGAGGACAGGGCCCUCUCCGAGACUGAGGAGAUAAAGCAGUGGGUAUGCAUCGAGUGCUGAUUCCAGAACAGCAGGUGGCCUUCACUCUACAGGCAGGAGCUCUGGGAGAAGUCCUGAUUACAAAGAAGUUUCAGCAAUUCAGUGGAGCACAAAAACUGAGGAUGAACACAUAGAAAUGCAUGGAAAGCAAUUGUAUCUGUGUCACCCCAUCUCCCAGUCUGGCACACCUUGGCUCCAAAAGGAUCCCCUUGGCUGUGACUGUCCCUCAUGGGAGAAAAGGAGAGCAGGAUGACUCCAGCAGCCUCAGCCACCACAGACAUCUGCCUCUUUUACCCUUGAGGACUUCAACAGUUUUCACAGAUGCCGAUCCAAGCCAAUGGGCCUGCGUGGAGUCCACACCACUGCACCUACUCUGAAGAAGAAGCCACCACUCCAGCCUUGGCACCACCAUGCCUGCACUGUACCCUCAACUCUGACACCAGGAGGGAUCCCCUUGGUCAUAACUUCCCCCAUGAGGGAAAAAGGAGAACAGGAAGAUCUGCAUCCGCCUUCACUACCAAGACCCCACAAUCUUUGCCAACACUAACCCAAGCUGACUGCUUGGAGUCCACAGCAUUGCACACGCACCCCACCCCCAGGGCCAGAGUUAUCGGUGCAUUCUCCUAGAGCCAAAGCCACCACACAGAAUCCAGCCACCUCCCUCACACUCAACCAUAGGUGAGGGUGUUUCCCCACCAAAGCCAGUUAAUAAAGACUGGAAGAGGUGAUUUCUUCUUCAAAUGCACAGACAUUAAUGCAAGACUCCAAGGAACAUGAAAAAUCAAGGAAACAUGACACAACUAAAGGAACAUAAUAAAUUUCCAGUAAGUGGCCCCAAGGAAAUAGAGAUCUAAAACUGUCUAACAAAGAAGUCAAAAUAAUUGUUUUAAAGAAGAUCAGCAAACUACAAAAGAAGACAAAUAGGCUGGGCAUGGUGGCUAAUGCCUGUAAUCCCAGCACUUUGGGAGGCCAUGGUGGGUGGAUCACCUGAAGUCAGGAGUUCGAGACCAACUUGGCCAACAUGGUGAAACCCCAUCUCUACUAAAAAUACAAAAAUUAGCUGGGCAUGGUGGUGCACACCUGUAAUCCCAGCUACUCAGGAGGUAAUCCCAGCUGGCUCAGGAGGCUGAGGCAGGAGAAUCACUUGAAUCCGGGAGGCAGAGGCUGCAGUGAGCCGAGAUUGCACCACUGCACUACAGCCUGGGCGGCUGAGUGAGACUCCAUCUCAAAAUAAAUAAAUAAAAGAACACAGAUAGACAACUCAACAAAAUGAGGGGGGAAAUACAUGAAUAAAAUGAGAACAAUAAAGAGGUAGAAAUUAUAAAAACAACCAAACAGAAAUUAUGCAGCUGAAGAAUUUGAUGAAUAAAAUGAAAAAUGCAAUAGAAAGCCUUAACAGCAGACUCAAUCUAGCAGAAAAAAGAAUCUGUGAACUUGAAGAAAGGACAUUUGAAAUUAUCCAGUCAGAGACAAAGAAGAAAAAAGAAUUAAAAAGAUUGAAGAAAGCCUAUAAGAUUUAUGGGACAUAAACAAGCAACCCAGUAUAUAUAUUAUGGUAUUCCAAAGAGAACAGAGAAAGAAAAGGGCAACAGGCUUAUGUGAAAAAUAAGGUCUGAAAAAUUCCCAAAUCUUGAGAGGAAAAUGGACAUCCAGGUUCAUGACUCCCAAAUCACCUCAAAUAGGAUCACACAAAUUAAGAAUACUCUGAGACACCUGAUAAUUAAAUUGUCAAAAUUUAAGGACAAAGAGAGCAUUUUGAAAGCAGCAAGAGAAAAGUUGGAACCCCCUACUAGCAGAUUUCUCAGCAGAAACCUUGCAGGCAAAAAGAGAGUGGGAUAAUAUAUUCAAAAUACUGAAAGGAAAAAAAAAAGCUGUCGACCAAGAAUACUAUACCCAGCACAAUUAUCCUCUUUAAAUAGAGGAAAGAUAACGUGUUUCCCAGACAAAAACUGAGGAAGUUCAUCACCACUAGAUUUGCCUUAAGAAAUGCUUAAGGCAGGUCCUCAAAUUGAAAUGAAAACACACUAAACAACAACACAAAUCAUAUGAAAGCAUUAAUCUCACAGGUAAGGGAAAAUAUUUGGAUAAAUAUAAAAUAAUAUAAUAGUUGUAAUGAUGGUGCACAAAUCACUUUUUGCCCUAAUAUAAAAGUUAAAAGAUAAAAAUUUGUUAACAGAUACCCGGUAUAAAAAGCAAACUUUACAGGCAUGAUGGCACACACCUGUGGUCUCAGCUACUUGGGAGGUUGAGAUGGGGGGAUCACUUUAGCCUGGGAAGUGGAGGUUGCAGUGAGCCAAGAUCAUGCCACUGCACUGCAGCCUGGGUGACAGAGUGAGACCCUAUCUCAGAAAAAAAGAAAAAAAAAAGCAAACUCUUUCUACAAAAACACAAAGAGGGGAGAACAAAAGUGUGGAGUUUUUGUAUGUAAUUAAAUUGUUAUCAACUUAAAGUAGACAAUUAUAAGAUAUUUUAUGUAAGCCUCAAGCUAAUCACAAUGAAGAAAAAGCAAUAAUCGAUACAAAAAAGAUAAAGAGAAAAUAAUGAAAGCAAAUCAAUGCAAAAAAUCAUGAAAUAAAGGAAAACAGCAAAAGAGGAAGAGGGACAAAACAACCACAAAACAGACAGAAAACCAUUUACAAAAUGACAAUAGUAAGUCCUCACCUAUCAAUAAUUAUAUUAAAUGUAAAUGAAUUAAACUCCCCAGUCAAAAGGCAUAGAGUGGUUGAAUGGACUUAAAAAACAAGAUCCAGUGGUACGGUGUCUGCAAGAGAUUCACAUAAGCUGGGCAUGGAGCAUGGGGAAGUCAAGGCUGCAGUGAGUCAUGAUCACACCACUGCACUCCAACCUGGGUGACAGAGUGAGAUCCUGUCUCAUAAAAAAAAAAAAAAAAAAAAAAAAACAGAAGAAAGAAGACAAUUCGAUUCACAAUAGCAACAAAAAGAAGAAAAUACUUAGGAAUGAACUGGUAAAAGACUUGUACGCUAAAAUUUAUAAAACAUUAAUGAAGGAAAUGAAAGAAGACACAAAAAUGGAAAGAUGUCUGUGUUCAUGGAUUAGAAGAUAGAAGAAUUAAUACUGUUUAAAUGUGCAUACUAUUGAAAAUAACCUACAGAUUCAAUGCAAUCCCUAUCAAAAAUCUCAAUGGCAUUUUUUAUAGAAAUAAAGAAAAUCCAAAAAUUCAUAUGGAACCACAAAAGAUCACAAAUAGCCAAAACAAUCUUGAGCAAGAAGAACAAAGUGGGAAGCAUCACACUUCUUGACUUCAAAAUAUAUUAUAAAGCUACAGUAAUCAAAAUAGAAUGCUUUACUAACAUUAAAAAAGACAUAUAAACCAAUGGAACAGAAUAGAGAGCCUGGAUAUAAAUUCACACAUCUACAGUCAACUGAUUUUUAACAAAGGUGGCAAGAGCACACAAUUAGGAAAAGAUAGUCUCUUCAACAAAUGGUGUUGGGAAAACUAGAUAUCCGCAUGCAGAAAAAUGAAAGUGGAACUUAUCUCACACCGUAUACACAAAUCCACCCCAAAGGGAUUAAAGACUUAAAUGCAACCUCUAAAGCCAUAAGAUUAUUAGAGGAAGACAUAGGGGAGAAUCUUCCUGAUGUUGGUCAGGGCAAUUAUUUUUUAGAUAUGACACUGAAAGCACAAGCAACAAAAUAAAAAUAGACAAUUGAAAUUGCAUCAAACUGGCCAGGUGCGGUGGCUCACACCUGUAAUCCCAACACUUUGGGAGGCUGAGGUGGGUGAGUCACAAGGUCAGGAGAUCGAGACCAUCCUGGCUAACACAGUGAAACCCUGUCUCUACUAAAAAGACAAAAAAUUAGCUGGGCGUGGUGGCAGGCGCCUGUAGUCCCAGCUACGCAGGAGGCUGAGGCAGAAGAAUGGUGUGAACCUGGGAGGCAGAGCUUGCAGUGAGCCGAGAUCACACCACUGCACUCCAGCCUGGGCGACAGAGCAAGACUCCAGCUCAAAAAAAAAAGAAAGAAAAUGCAUCAAACUAAAAAGCAUCUGUGCAGCAAAGGAAACAAUCAACAGAGUGAAAAGGUAACCUACAAAAUGGAAUAAAGUAUUUGCCAACUACAUGUCUGAUAAAGGAUUGAUAUUCAAACUAUAUAAAGAGCUAAUAAAACUUAAUAGCAAAACAAAACAAAUAACGUGAUUUUAAAAAAGGAAGAAGGAUGUAAAUAGACAUUUUUCAAAAGAAAACAUACAAAUGGUCAAUAGGCAUAUGAAAAGAUGUUCAAUAUCGCUAAUUAUCAAGGAAAUGCAGAUGAAAACCACAAUGAGCUAUCACUUCACACCUGUUAGAAUAGCUACUAUAAAAAAGACAAAAGAUAAGUAUUGGCGAGGAUGCAGAGAAAAGGGAACUCUUGUAUACUGUUGGUGGGAAUGUAAAUUGGUACAGCCAUUAGGGAAAACUGUAUGGAAGUUCCUUCAAAUAAUAACUACUUUAUGAUCCAGCUUCUGGCUAUAUAUCCAAAGGAAAUGAAAUCAGUAUGUCUUCAAGGUAUUUGCACUCCCUUGUUCAUUACAGUACUAUUCACAAUAGCCAAGAUAUGGAAGUAACCCCAAUAUCCAUUAACAGAUGAAUAAGGAAAAUGUGGCACACACACACACACACACACACACACACACACACAAUGGAAUAUCAUUUAGCCUUUAAAAAGAGAAGGAAAUCCUGACAUUUAUGACAACAUGGAUAAAUGUUGGACAUGGAUAAAUGAGGAGAUUAUGCUAAGUGAAAUAAGUCAGACACAAAGACAAAUACUGCAUGAUCUCACUUAUAUGUGGAAUCUAAAACAGUCAAGCUCAUGGAACUACAGAGUAGAAUGUUGCUGCUAGAGGCUGGGGGAGGGGUAAAUGGUGAGAUGUUGGUCAAGGGACACAAAGUUUCAGUUAUGCAGGAUGAAUGAGAUCUAGAGAACUAAUAGACAUAGUUAACAAGGACAUAGUUAACAUAGAACAUAAUUAACAAGGCUGUAUUAUAUGCUUGAAAUUUGCUAAGAACUGUAAAUCUCGUUUUCUCACCCCUCCCAAAAAAGAACAAGAAAAGAUCAUGGUAAUGAUAUGAAAUAAUAGAUACGUUCGUUAACUUGAUUAUGGUGAUUAUUUCACAAUGUAUACAUAUUUCAAUAUAUUAAGAAGUCAUACACUUAAAUAUAUACAAUUUUUAUUUGUCAAUUAUUCAUCAGUAAAGGUGCAAGGAAAUAUUCAAUAUUUUUUAAGUUAAAGGAGAACAAAAUAAAUACACAAAAAUUAGAUGGCAGUGCUCUUGAAAUGGGUGUGGGGAUGUGUGUGGAGAGGGUGGGUGCUGCGUGGGGCUUGAGUGGGGCCACCCUGCUUGUGUCCAGCUGGGCUGAGUGAUUGUCUAAGGCCACAGCAAUUACACACACUCCCUAAGGGAACUCUGUCUACAACUAGGCAGAAAUGAUGGGAACCAUGAAUUUGAUGGUAGGCCAUGAAUUUGAUGUCUUUAUUUGAUGUAAGCCUAUUUGGCUGCUGUUAAGUAUUGGGUUUUUCUUAUAACCUCCAGUAAUUAGAAAUAAAUGAGGACUGUAGGUACCCUCCCACAAAACCCAGCCAGCAGAUGGUGCCUUACAAGGCAAGCAAGCUUCAGACUGAACUCUACCACACCUAAAACAUCAAGCUGGAUCAAAGAGUCAGGAACCUGUUCUUGAAAGCUCAGUGGAGCCCCAGCUCUCUGACCCUUAGGCAGUCUACUAAAUGUCUUGCAUGAGGGCUCAUCCCCGGUAGAUAAAAUAUUCUAAGGGGUGGAUACAGUCAACCUUCUAGCUAAAUCACAUGGCAGAAUCCUCCACUACGUGGCAGGAUGUGGGACCAAAUCACAGUUCAAGGCCAUGAAUGCUACUCUGCUAUACCCACAGAUAUUACACCUGUAAAUCAAAAAGUGUCUGAGACAGGUCUCAAUCCAUGCUGAAGUUUAUUUUUCCAAGGUUAAGGACAUUCCAGUGGCACAGCCUCAGGAGGUCCUGCGAACAUAUACCCAAGGUGGUUGGGCUACAACUUGGUCUUACAUGUUUUAGAGAGACAUAAGAUAUCCAUCAAUACAUGUAAGAUGUACGUUGCUUCUGUCCAGAAAGGCAAAACAACUCAAAGGGGUGGGUGUGGGGGGACUUACAGGUCAUAGGUGGAUUCAAAGAUUUCCUGAUUGGUAAUUGGUUGAAAAAGUUUAUCUAAACACCUGGAAUCAAGAGAAGGGAGUGUCUGGGUAAGAUAAGAGAUUGUGGAGACCAAGGUGUUUAUUAUGCAGAUGAAGCCUCCAGGUAGCAGGCUUUAGAGAGAAUAGAUUGUAAAUGUUUCUUAUCAGACUCCCAGUUAAUUCUCUCCUGAAUCAGGAAAAUGACCUGGAAAGGGAAGGGGAUUCUCUACAGACCAUAGAUUUUCCCCACAACAGAGAGCUUUGCAGGGCCAUUUCAAAAUGUGUCAAAGAAAUACAUUUGGGGGUAAAAUACUUUGAUUUCUUUU